AGCGAACGCUGGCGGCAGGCUUAACACAUGCAAGUCGAGCGGGCGUAGCAAUACGCCAGCGGCAGACGGGUGAGUAACGCGUGGGAACGUACCUUUUGGUUCGGAACAACACAGGGAAACUUGUGCUAAUACCGGAUAAGCCCUUACGGGGAAAGAUUUAUCGCCGAAAGAUCGGCCCGCGUCUGAUUAGCUAGUUGGUAGGGUAAUGGCCUACCAAGGCGACGAUCAGUAGCUGGUCUGAGAGGAUGAUCCGCCACAUUGGGACUGGGACACGGCCCAAACUCCUACGGGAGGCAGCAGUGGGGAAUAUUGGACAAUGGGGGCAACCCUGAUCCAGCCAUGCCGCGUGAGUGAUGAAGGCCCUAGGGUUGUAAAGCUCUUUUGUGCGGGAAGAUAAUGACGGUACCGCAAGAAUAAGCCCCGGCUAACUUCGUGCCAGCCGCCGCAGUAA
rnacentral:rRNA from 1 species